rnacentral:rRNA from 1 species
GACGAACCGUACGAACGUUAUUCGGAAUCACUGGGCUUAAAGGGUGCGUAGGCGGUCUGCUAAGUCAUCUGUGAAAUCUAUGGGCUCAACCCAUAGUCUGCAGGCGAAACUGUCGGGCUUGAGUAUGGGAGAGGUGAGUGGAAUUUCCGGUGUAGCGGUGAAAUGCGUAGAUAUCGGAAGGAACACCUGUGGCGAAAGCGGCUCACUGGACCAUUACUGACGCUGAUGCACGAAAGCUAGGGGAGCAAACAGG